GCCACCCAGGCACCCCUAGAGGUCUAAGUUUUAUGGAUGUUGUUGGUCUAAAAUGUUGGAAAGUGGUGAACACUCAGCAAUGGGCUUAUAGUAAGGAAUGAUACCUACAGUGGUUGGCAUAAAAUUCCAGCGACUGUUCAAAGAAUUCUGAAUACCUAUAUUGCUGUGGAAAGGUACUGAGGCCACUAAUCACACUCCUCUUAUCAUCCUUGGCCAAUCCCCACUGAGACUCAUGAUUAGUGGAAUAUAAUUCUAAGGGAAGAGGUCAGGGAGAUUAAUUUGUGUGGAACCAUCUCACUGGAGAUCUCGGUGGCAGAAAUUCCAAGCUGAGAGGGUCUCCUGGUCAUGAGGAUACUUCAUAGAGAAGUCUGAGCCCUGGACUAUCCACAAGUGGAAAAGAUCCCAAAGGCAAGAACAGCAACCCUCUCACCUAGUCAGCCGGCAGAGAAGAUAGUAAAUGCCAAAUGAACACUGCAGAGAGAAAAUAAAGAGGAUACUCUCAACUCGUUUUACUUUAAAUUACUCUCAGCAAACCAUAAAAUUAUAAAAUUAAAAAUUAAAAAAGGAAAAUUGCAAUUAAGGCUCCACAAACAGCUGAGUAAUGUAAAUAUUUUAGGCAAAAUGAUUCCCAGAGAUCCAUUUAAGUGCAUCAAUUGGGUUGAAUGGUUGUUUAUUUGUAGUUUGUUUUCAUUCAGCCUCUUAACUGAAAAAUUGGAAUGCAUGGUUUGGCGGGAGAGAGACUCUUGUAAAAUUUGGUAUAUGUUUGAAUGUUACCAAAUAAAGAU